CUACGGGGUGCAGCAGUAAGGAAUAUUGGUCAAUGGACGAAAGUCUGAACCAGCCAUGCCGCGUGGAGGAUGAAGGUCCUCUGGAUUGUAAACUUCUUUUAUCUGGGAAGAAAUCCAUGGUUUCUACUAUGGUUGACGGUACCAGAUGAAUAAGCACCGGCUAACUCCGUGCCAGCAGCCGCGGUAAUACGGAGGGUGCAAGCGUUAUCCGGAUUCACUGGGUUUAAAGGGUGCGUAGGUGGGCAGGUAAGUCAGUGGUGAAAUCUCCGAGCUUAACUCGGAAACUGCCAUUGAUACUACCUGUCUUGAAUACCCUGGAUGUGAGCGGAAUAUGUCAUGUAGCGGUGAAAUGCUUAGAUAUGACAUAGAACACCAAUUGCGAAGGCAGCUCACUACGGGAAUAUUGACACUGAGGCACGAAAGCGUGGGGAUCAAACAGGAUUAGAUACCCUGGUAGUC
rnacentral:rRNA from 1 species